GGCUAGAGUCAUGGGUAAUUCCAGAGGAUUCAUUUUCUCUGUUUGUUGAGAUCAAGUGCCAGGCUUUCUGUUUACUCAGUUGAGCUACAUGGAGUUUUUUUCCUGGAAUUUCUGCCAACCAGAACAGGGAAGUCCCACGACCCACUGCAAGGUGGGUGGGAACAGUGCCCUUUGGGUUUCAGAUUUCUCUACUGUGGCAGGGUAACUGGCCAAGUGGGAGAGAAGUAAGUUAAAGAAAAGUGACAUUCUGAAGCCUUUGAGUUGAGAGUGGCCACAUGAAUUUCACCUUGAACAGUCCUCCUUGGUUGCUUUAGGCCAUUGUUAUAAAAAGGCACAUCUGCAAUGCUUCUGAUAAAGUCAAGCAGGAGACAUUGUCGCCUGGCUCCCAUGUUCAUGCCUCACUCACAUCAAACAAAUAUUUUGACACCUUCAUUAAGUGCGACAGAAAUUGAAACAAUGUUGUUAAUUACUCAGCCUAAAGCUAUUCUAUUUUCCUGGAAAAAAAUCAAUUGAUACCUAUUUUUACUCAUUAAAAAAGCCUCAAAAUGAAAGGCAAAAGUAAAUCUAGGAACAAAACACAGGAGAAAAUAAUGUGGGAGAGAAAAAUCCACUCAUGUUUCAUGUUUCAAUUUUCUCCUUUGUUUUUUCAAAUCUGUACUCCCUUUACUAUUAUGCUUCUCUUUUCCUAUAUCCAGUACUUCUGUGCUGACAAAACAAAUGGAAUGAAUUGAAGAAUUAGUUGAUAUAAAGUCAAGACACCCUUUGGGUGUCUGCUUCCCCUUCGACCUUCUGCCAUGCUGUGACAUUGCACAAAAGCCCUCACCAGAAGCCAAGCAGAUGCUGAUGCCAUGCUUCUUGCACUUUCCAGCCUGUAGAACCAUGAGUUUCUAAUCUCUCUUCUUUAUAAGUGACGAAGCCUUAGGUUGUCUGUUACAGCAACACAGAACAGACUAAGACUAUUAUCUAAUUUCAAUUUCUCGUCUAUUAACUACCAAAAGUACUUUUUUUCCUGCUCUGAAAUAUAUAUAUAUAUAUAUGCA
rnacentral:lncRNA from 1 species